GACGAACGCUGGCGGCGUGCCUAAUACAUGCAAGUCGAACGCACUGACGUCGACAGAAGGUGCUUGCACUGGAAGUUGAUUGACGUGAGUGGCGGACGGGUGAGUAACACGUGAGUAACCUGCCCUUAAGCGGGGGAUAACAUUUGGAAACAGAUGCUAAUACCGCAUAAAAGUUGAGAACACAUGGUCUUAAUUUGAAAGACGGCCUUUGGCUGUCAAUUAAGGAUGGACCCGCGGCGUAUUAGCUAGUUGGUGAGAUAAUAGCCCACCAAGGCGAUGAUACGUAGCCGACCUGAGAGGGUAAUCGGCCACAUUGGGACUGAGACACGGCCCAAACUCCUACGGGAGGCAGCAGUAGGGAAUCUUCCACAAUGGACGAAAGUCUGAUGGAGCAACGCCGCGUGAGUGAAGAAGGUUUUCGGAUCGUAAAACUCUGUUGUUGGAGAAGAACAGGGACUAGAGUAACUGUUAGUCCUUUGACGGUAUCCAACCAGAAAGCCACGGCUAACUACGUGCCAGCAGCCGCCGUAA
rnacentral:rRNA from 1 species